GGGCGAGUAACUCAGCGGUAUAGAGUGCUUCCCUUACAAGGAAGAGGUCACAGGUUCAAAUCCUGUCUCGCCCACCA
rnacentral:tRNA from 1 species